rnacentral:rRNA from 1 species
AGAGUUUGAUCCUGGCUCAGAAUGAACGCUGGCGGCAGGCCUAACACAUGCAAGUCGAACGGAGUUAUAUUGUAGCUUGCUAUGGUAUAACUUAGUGGCAGACGGGUGAGUAAUGUAUAGGAAUCUACCUAGUAGUACGGAAUAAUUGUUGGAAACGGCAACUAAUACCGUAUACGCCCUACGGGGGAAAAAUUUAUUGCUAUUAGAUGAGCCUAUAUUAGAUUAGCUAGUUGGUGGAGUAAUAGCCUACCAAGGCAAUGAUCUAUAGCUGAUCUGAGAGGAUGAUCAGCCACACUGGAACUGAGAUACGGUCCAGACUCCUACGGGAGGCAGCAGUGGGGAAUAUUGGACAAUGGGCGCAAGCCUGAUCCAGCCAUACCGCGUGAGUGAAGAAGGCCCUCGGGUUGUAAAGCUCUUUUGUUGGGAAAGAAAAGCAGCCGGUUAAUACCCGGUUGUUCUGACGGUACCCAAAGAAUAAGCACCGGCUAACUUCGUGCCAGCAGCCGCGGUAAUACGAAGGGUGCAAGCGUUAAUCGGAAUUACUGGGCGUAAAGCGCGCGUAGGUGGUUCGUUAAGUUGGAUGUGAAAGCCCCGGGCUCAACCUGGGAACUGCAUCCAAAACUGGCGAGCUAGAGUAUGGCAGAGGGUGGUGGAAUUUCCUGUGUAGCGGUGAAAUGCGUAGAUAUAGGAAGGAACACCAGUGGCGAAGGCGACCACCUGGACUGAUACUGACACUGAGGUGCGAAAGCGUGGGGAGCAAACAGGAUUAGAUACCCUGGUAGUCCACGCCGUAAACGAUGUCUACUAGCCGUUGGGGUCCUUGAGACUUUAGUGGCGCAGUUAACGCGAUAAGUAGACCGCCUGGGGAGUACGGCCGCAAGGUUAAAACUCAAAUGAAUUGACGGGGGCCCGCACAAGCGGUGGAGCAU